GACGAACGCUGGCGGCGUGCUUAACACAUGCAAGUCGAGCGGUAAGGCUCCUUCGGGCGUACACGAGCGGCGAACGGGUGAGUAACACGUGAGUAAUCUGCCCUUCACUUCGGGAUAACCACCGGAAACGGUGGCUAAUACCGAAUACGACCAGUCUUCGCAUGAGGUGCUGGUGGAAAGUCUUUUCGGUGAAGGAUGUGCUCGCGGCCUAUCAGCUUGUUGGUGGGGUAAUGGCCUACCAAGGCUUCGACGGGUAGCCGGCCUGAGAGGGUGACCGGCCACACUGGGACUGAGACACGGCCCAGACUCCUACGGGAGGCAGCAGUGCGGAAUAUUGGACAAUGGGCGAAAGCCUGAUCCAGCAACGCCGCGUGAGGGAUGACGGCCUUCGGGUUGUAAACCUCUUUCAGUACCGACGAAGCGCCCUGUCGGGUGGUGACGGUAGGUACAGAAGAAGGACCGGCCAACUACGUG
rnacentral:rRNA from 1 species